UAGAUUUAUCUUCUUUUGAGAAAUAAAUCCCGUUUAAUUUUUGACGGGUGCAUAUGUGUAAUUGCCUCAAAACCCAUCCGUGUGAAACGGUAAAACAUUCCGAUAAAACUGGUUUUCGUAAGUUUACAAAGCACGAGUUUUUCGUGCGUACAUUGUAAAGGCUGCGCAUUUAAAGUUUAAAAUUUGACGUGGAAACAUCGCUUAUUAAAACUGCUGUAGGUAUUUGAAAUGCUUCAAAAGUUCAACACAGCUGGUUUCAAGUGUUCACCAAUUCGUCUUUCAGAUAAUAUUACUGAUACAGACUGGUGUGUGCAGCUAUGUCUUUAGACAUAUAGACGAACACGUGAAAACUCGAAUCGUGCUGUAAUACUUCCAGAGCAAAGGUAUAUCAAGGAAGGAACCGGUUGAUGUUAUGGGCUGAUGGAUAGCGGCAUGGCAUGGUUCAAUGUGCUGAUGGGAAAUGACUCCUUAAUUCACGCUAUUCAUGUAAAAGCUUGAAUCCAGCCGGUUUUUCAUUACUUCCCGUUCAGCCAUGCCAUGCCGCUCCAUCGACACGUGUGCUUGAAUUUGAUGUCCAGUAAUUACAGUCUACAGAAAACAUUUUAUCCCACGUAUUUAGUGUUUGAAAUGUGUUGACACUCAAAAGUAAUAAUUGGAUGCUCUACGUCUGAUUACAACAAACUUUGUUGUAGAAAUAAACAGUUGUAAUUUGGAACAUUACUCGAUACUUAAAAAUAAUUUAUUAAAAUAUUUAUUAGUAUUAACAAUAAUUAAUUGAGCUAAAUGAUUAAAAUGGUGCCUUUUUAUAUAUUCUAAUGCUUAAAUGAAUUUGCAAGGAUGCGACCCCGACAUUUUUGUGGUAUGACAUUGACAAACGGGUACAGGUUUCCUAUUUUUCCCACUGGGUUUUAUUUGGUUUUUCCUGGGCGAGUCGACCACAAUUUGCAAGUUUCAUGGUAUAGGAAAUCAAAAUGUUUUUAUUUUACUGUUUUCACAUACCUAACUUUAUUGAUCAUAUCUGAAAACUAGAAUAUAUCUUUCAUAAUGCAAAUACGUUUGUAUACUAGUAAUUGAUACAUUAGUGUGUUAAAUCCAGUCGUGACUUUAUAUAGUAUUACUGUAACUUCUCUAAGUCAAAUUAUAUUCAAGACUUUUCAUUAUCAUUGCGAAUAUCUCAUUGAUAAGAGAUUUAAUGGGAGCAAUUUGCCCCGAUUUCUCUUUAGCUUUGUUAUUGUUUUUACUCUUGUAAAAUGCCACGCCGCUUUAUAUUCUUAAUCGUUGACCUCUUUGCGGCAAGUCCAAGCAGAGUUUAGCAUUUUCAGAGCUUAUUAUCAUAGUUUACAGCACUUUGCGUUGCUAUGUAGCUUUCCAUGCAUUUAGCUGGGAGCUGUCUUUCAUAUUUUUCUCAUUCAUUUCAUAUUUUUUGACGAUGAUAUUUGUUUUCACCAAAAAGCACAAUAAAGUCACGGCCUUAUUCCAAUCA